rnacentral:tRNA from 1 species
CGGUAGAGCAUCUGACUUUUAAUCAGAGGGUCGACAGUUCGAGCCUGUCACGACUCA